UCGGACAAUGUUAAUAUGAUAAGAGGAACCAAGGAGGAAGAAAUGGUUACCGGUCAUAUCAUCAAAUAUAAAUGCUAUAGCAGCGUAGUUUAGUACUAUUAAUUUUUUGUUCAUGAAAAUAGACGCUCGAACGUGGAUACUCACACCAUAUAAGGAACGUGAUUUUCGCUGAAUUUGGUAGACGAAUUUGGCUGUUAAAUCCGUCAGCCCUAUGUAAUUGUAACUCUGCCUUAAAAAAAAGUCAACGACAAGACGCAACACGACGCCACGACGGCGACGGCCAUGGCUUCGCCGGAGCUCGGCGGCGGCGACGGCAGCAGCUACGAUUUCCAUCUCCGCUCGCUCUCGGCAGCCUCACGGGACUCCGCUGCGGCCGCUGACCCCGCCUCCGACCCAACCUCCUCCAAUCCGUAAUCGCAUCUCCCUUCUAGCCCUUCUCCCCAUGUCCGGUUUCUUGGAUGUAUACAUAAGGAUUUUUAGUUUGUUGCUUAUUGCGCCAUUUUUCUUUUCCCGCGUGAAGGUGAGGAGGGUGUGCGAGAUGUGCCGGGAGGCGAAGGAGGCGAGGGACGAGAUGGUGGCACGGGCGUUCCCGGUGAUGAGCAAGCUGUUUCAGCGAUGCGCCGCCGCUCCGACGCAGGCCGUGGCCUCCACCGGCACGCUGCUUCUUCUAAGCAGACUUUUCUCAGUCUUGCUCUGCAAAGAUCUUAUUCUUAACAUUUUGAUGGAUAAAUGCUCGGAUGUCAGGAACUAUGGGUCCUUUUCCGUAGAACUGUACUUCUCCCUUACAAUUUUAUCGAAAUUUCUCAGUAACGUGCGUAUAUCAUUUGGGGAGAGAGUUAAUAUAUUGCUAAGCGCAUGGUAAAUGCAUUACUUCCUGAUUCACCCAACAGUCAAUUUUAUCUGCACGGUUAUUGGUGUCAGAUUACUUUUAAAUGUUUCCUUAUUUCAUAAAGAGUUCAGUUAUACUUCUAGCAAGAAUUGUUUAGACUUUAGAGACAUGUAUUUUUCCUUCACAGACCAUUCUGCAAUUCUUCCUGAACUUUGGGGAGGCAGUCUUGCAUGAUGCUGAUGGUAGUUUGAAAACCUUCUUCCGCUCUUGCUUAAGUAGGUAAUAUUGCUCUCUGUGUUUGUCUCUUGAUGUAUAUAUUAUGUGUUGCUUUCAAAAGCUUCUAAAAUCACUCCAAUUUUCUUUCUUAUAAAUAGGGAGUUCGCAGAUCCUAUUGUUGCAGAGCGCACACUUGAAUUCCUUAUAGCAAACAAGACAAAGAUCCUUGGUUCUUUUCCCACCUUGAUUCCACUGGUGCAUACACACGAAAUGAUUACUUACUUCGAAAUAGUAAAUAAUGCAGCUCAUGUUGUUGCAAAGCAUUGCUUUUAAAUAUAUCAAUGUGUCAAUUAAGCCUCCUUGUUUGUUUUUAAGCAUAUGUAUCUCUUCUCUUUCUAUUUUCCAAAUUGAUCUAAGCAUGUUAGCAUUUGACAAUGCUUGUGUACUGUUGUUUAUAUGCAGUUUUAUCCGUUGCUGUUGAAGUUAAUUGCAUCAAAUGGUGAGAAGUAUGUCCCCUUUAUUGCUGGAACUUCUGAGAGUUUUAUGUGCAUGUUUCCUGACACUGGUAGCAUAAAUAUUUCAUAUGAAUCCUGUCGAGCUGCCUAAUUUGUUUGCUAACAUUCUAGACUGGAAAAGAAGUUUUUGGAAGUACUUCCAUUAAUGAUGUCAGCAGGAUCUUUUCUUCCACUCUUCCUGUCCCUUAUGGAUCUGCCAAGUAAGCCUGUUGAUUAUGUGCUUUCAGGACUUCCUUGAAUUUAUUUUAAGCCGCAUGAUUUUAGCAGCUAAUUAACUUAUGACAGGGGCGGAGCCAGGGCAGUUUAUAGCUGACCCCGAUGAUUUUUGUAUUUCAAUGGAAAACCAUGGUUCACAGUAACUAAAGACCCCCAUCCUGCAUUCAUAUAGUGAAGACGACCCCAGUCAUUAGGUGCCCUAGCUUUGCCCCUGGCUUAUGAGUUGGUCUUUGUUCUAUUUUCAUCAGGAGCGCAUAAUUAAAUUCUUGUUUCUGCUUUCAUCAGGAGCGCAUCCUUAAAUGUGAGGGAUUUGCGAAUGGGUAUAGCAUGAUUACAUAACCUAGUCCCUGCGUGUCAUGAUUUACUUUUUAUUUAUGAACGUGAACAAGACUAGUUGUCACACUAUAGAUUUCUUUUAAUAAAGAACUAUUUUUUAUCUUUAAGUUUUAAUAUGCUGCACACAUUAUCAAGCAGCUCUGACUGAUCUUAAUUAGAUAUUGCAAAAAUUGGUGGUUUGCUUUUGAUAUUUAUCUCUUUUUCGAGUGUUUUUAACUUUCAACCAUGCAUUGUUGGUCUUUGUUCUGUAAUAACGGUUGAUUUCAACUCCUUUGUUCCUCUCUCACUGCUGCGGCAUCCAGUGUUGGUGGUGGCACUGGAGAAGGUGGAAAGAAGUUCUGGAACUCUUAUUGGUAGUAGUAUAGCUACAAUUCAGAAGAGCGCUGCUCCUGAGGUUAUCAUCGAAUGAAUUCACGAAGUAUGAAUUACCUAGUCCAAAUUGGCUAAGCCACUUUUCUUUUUUGUUGUGCAGAUGCUUCUUGCACUGAUGGAUGAGGCAUACACUGGUUCUGCAAUAGAAGAUUCUAGUGGUAUUUCAGGUUCUGAUGAUAGUAGCCCUCUAGACCUCGCUGACCCGAUGUUCCUAGACCUUCUAAAAGAUGAGAAUGAUGGCAUUGCUGUAAGUAGUUUCUCCUAUACAAUAGUGUAUGUUCGAUAUUUCUAUAUUCCCCCUUAAUUCUUAGUACUAAUGGUAUCUUUUUCUGCUGUUUCCUUCAGGCAAAACAUUGGAUAUCCCCUACAAUAUCUUCGACACUACAAGCAGCAGUUAACAGCACACAAUCAGAUAGAUUAAAACAGUCACUGGAAAUGGCACCUCGCUUUCUUUCUUUAUAUUUUGCAACUGCAUUGUGGGAUGUUAACGACUGUAGGUUUCCUAUCUUUUUAAAAUUAGAUUGCUAUUGAUACACAGACUAAAUUACCAACAUUGUUCAUGUGAAAAUUCUGUGUUUGUUGGUUCAGCGCUGUUGUGUGCUCUUAUUCCAGUAGUUAUGUCAAGAUAUGCUGCAAUGUUCCCAGACAAGGUUUUCUCAUUCGAGGUAGACAACAUAAAUUUAUUUCGAAUUUUCCUUGUCUCUUAUGUGUCAUACUGAUAUUUUUUAAGCUGGGUGCAGUUUACAAGCAAGGAUAUUUUUCCAAUAUCUCUGUUUGCUUGAUCUGACGUAAUUGAUUAAUUCUGUUGGAAACCAAUUGAUAAGCAACUGGUAAACAAUGUCGCCAGAUAAAGUUGAAGGAUUCAUCAUAUAUGUUGAACUAUUGCAGCUGUUGUUUUUGUUUUUGCCAAACUUAAUAAUUCUGAAAGCCAUCCUAAAUGAUCCUUUGACCAACUGAUGGAGCAGUGAUAUGUUAAGUCCAUCUAUUUUUUGUUGGAACGUGUUGGAAGAGCUAAAUGAAAGAAGUACAAAACUUAAAAGUUAAAAAUUCUGACAUACCCACCUUCACCCAUAAUCCACAAUGAUGCUAUGUUCUUAUGUCUUGUCUGGCUUUGGACUUGGUUAUUUGCCUAACAUGACUUCUAUAAGUUCCAACUUCCAAUUGUAUAUCCUAGGUUCCCUGAUAUUACAUUCUUGUAGGUUAGGAAAAGACUGUCAGAUUUCAUAUUGGCUGCCUUUCAGCGAUCUUCUGACAUCAUUGCGAUACUAAAGGUAAUGGGUGUAAAUAUUUCUUACUAUACAUACAAGUCAGAAAUCCGAAGUCUGAACCAAAUAAAUGCCCAUCUUAUGUAGUACUUAGCAGCAAUAAGGAGGCCUUUAAGAAUUUCCUUUAUAUGCAGAAUUUUGUUAACAAUUUCGCAUGAUAACUUUCAACCAUUCUGCAGAAGCCUAUUACUGACAGGCUUGGUGAGGCUUAUGAUGAUCCUGCAAAGGCAAGUAUAUCUUCCGAGUUCUUACAUCUAUGUUCGAGUUCAUGGUACCACUGAAACUGCUGCAUCAUCACUUGCUCAAAUAACUGUUAUGUCCUUUCAUUGCAUCUGAAUUUUCUUAUGGGCUGACCUAUGCAGACAGAAUUAGCAUUGCACUUGUGCUGGGCCAUCGGUGAGCAUGGAGCUGGAGGGAUAAAUCGCACGGAUGUAGCUCGUGAACUAUUUGAAAAUUUGGAAUUGUUACUGUAUGAAAACCUGGCAACUAGGUGAGGCCGCAGUCUACUGUCUUUGUUUUCUAUACUUGCAUGGCAUGACACAUGAUUGGACUUAUUUUAUAUCUUGUCAAGUCGUUUGGCAUUAAGCCAGGAACCAGGAUUUGAUUCAAUGGGUGUAGCUUCUAGAAAAUCAUCCCAAGCUAGGCUCCUCUGCUUUGUGGUGACCGCCAUUGCAAAACUAGCAACAUGCCACAGUGAGUUGCUUCCGAGAGCACGUGUAUCAUUGGCUAAGGUGCUGACUCAGUCCUUCCUUUAUGUGAUAAAUGAUCAGUGUUAGAUGUGUUUACAUCAUCCAUCAGUGUUACUUCUCGCACAGCAUCUUAACUGCUUUGUUUCCUGCAGGUUGCUCGUACCAGAACCUCAGACAGGAGAGUCUGGCAACGUGCCUGUGACUAUUUGGGGCUCAUGAAUGAACCGGCCAUCUGUUUAUCUGUACUGGGACCGUCCACUGCCCAAGGAAAUGGUCCUGGUAUUGUUGACUGGAGCGAAGGGGGAACAAAGAUGCUAGCUCAUGUUCCCUUUUACCUUUUAGCCGAGCAAAAAGGUAAAAUUCUGCAAACCCUUCAGCAGUUAAAUGCAGGAUGACCAUCCUUUCAUUUUCUUAAGAGAUAUGCUUGCGAUUUAAGUACAGUGAGAUGAAAAAUUGUGCAUUUUAACUAAGGAUAAAACUAAAGUUUUAUAGAAUCAAGUGAAGAACGCUGCAUUGUAAACUGACUUGCUAUUUCUUGCUUCAAAUAUUUUCAGGUCCACCAUUUCAUGAUUUUUCAUUUGCGGACCUCCUCCCAGGACAGAAUGAAGAGAAAUUACCUUCAGGAAUAUAUCAUGAGGGCCAUGGUUCAGGCACUGAUUUCGCUAGCAGAAUACCAUGUCUAUAGAGAACUUAUUUCGUUAUCAUAGCAUGCUGAGGAUCCAAGCUCAUUUUCAAGAAAAGGGAUUGUAUUGUAUCAGUUACAUGAUUUUGACUAUUUGAGAGGCACUCAGCACUCGAGUUUGUACAUGAAGUGACUCCUGCUUCUUCUGAGGGGAAAACAGUGUUGUAAAUGUAACGUCUCUGCCUUUGUACAUCUGAAGGAUAAGGUGUACUAUAUGAAACGGCUCCUAAACAUGCUGAGAUGCCUGGCAAAUAGUCUCAGACAUUGAAGUGGUGGCAUGGCCAUGGAAUGCAGUCAUUUUACCCAGCAUAGCAUAUUGUGACAAAUAUAAAGGCUGAUGUUCCUUAAAACUGCGGGAACAUAACUGAGAAAUUGGCAUUCCAUGGUCAUGGCACUAUAACCGAAUAAAUCGAGAACAACUUGAAGCAACAAAGGCACGCUGCAGCAAUGCAAUUGCAAGCACAUCAAGCACGGCACAUUUGGGAUUGAAAUGGUGGCCCACACCAGAAACGCUACAAAGUAUAGAACUGAAGGCCCACAAAUAUCUAUUCUGGAACUCUCCUACCAGGAUGCUGGAGAAGUCUGAACAAUUAACAGCAGCAGCAGCACAAAUUACAGGCUAAAUUACGGUUUUGUACUCGACAAGAUAAGAACCCUAAAAAUCACAGGUAGCAGCAUCCGAGAGGCCAACAUGAAGAGGAAGUCAAUACCCGAACCAACUGCCCUUGCGUAGUGGUGACGCAUUUUCUUUGACAACUGAAACAUAUCUUGGAAUUUCCGGAAAUUUUGCGGAAACUAGGCGAAAAUUAACCCAAACUAUGAGCACCACAUGGCAAGGAGAGUCUGAGGUGCGUUCUUGACUUCCCACUGAUGAAAGCUCUAAAAUUUGCUGCUCCUGCAAAAGGAUUAUUGGUAAAUUCAUCAGUAUUCUGUAUUCAGACGAAACCAAAAUGAUGAAAUUUUGCAUAUUCUAACAUGCUGUAGUGGUUUAACAUGGUGCGUACCUCCAAUGCAAGGAUAAGAACAUUUUUAGAUUCAACGAAGCUAUUGGGGAUUGCUCUCGCCUGAGACCGCGGCCUUGAUGCGCUCCACGGUGCAAGCAAUGAGGCUGUUCACCGUUGCCACUGACCCCAGCGAGAGCUUGGCUGUGGGCACAGAGUCCACUAGUAUCUGGAACGCCACUGUCAGGAGCGAGCCACCUGAGCCGACGCCGCCGUCGCCUUGCAUGUUGCCCCCGGCUGGGCCGUCGGGUAGGAUGGCAAAGCCCGAUGGCAGGAGGGCCACAUAGUCAGGAUCGCCGCCGUUGAGGACAACGUUCAUGGCCACAACGUCUACCGGCGCGUAGAUGACAUAGGAACCCGACGCGUCGGUGCAGCUCUCUUGCAGGAUCAGCAUGUUGCUUUGGUUUGAGUUUGUGCUCUGCGACGACGUGCAUCAGCAAACACAAUUAACACUUAUCAACUACGCGUUAUCGCAUGCACAGAUGAAGAAUCAAAUAAUCUAUUUAUAUGCAUGUGCUUACAUUGACACGAAGAAGCGAGACGCAGUUGCCAUGAUCCCGGCCAUUGGCGAUGUGAGCCAUUUCUUGAACAACACCGCCAUUGGAGAGGAUGUCCCACUGCAAAAGAUCAUUUCCAGGAAAAUGUGUCAAGCCUAUGCAUACAUGUUGGUAAUGAGUUCAUUUGAUGUGAGUGUCACAUGCCUCGCUGCGAGAGCUCUCGUCGCGGAGGAAAUCGAAGACGCGCUUGGGUGGGACGGGGAGCCAGAAGGAGGUGGCUGCAUUGAGGACGAUGCCCGGCGGCCUGCCUGGGUCGUCAACGCUCUUCCUGGUCAUGACACGGACGUCCUCAGCGCCGCUGCCUGACAGCGUCGUCCACUGGUGUGCUGCAGAGGCAGUCACGCCACCGCAGAAGCUCAUCACCAUCCUCUCUGCCAGCUUCAGCAUGCUCUUUCUCCCUUCCGUACUUGUGAUCACUGCAACAAAACAAUGCAUCCAUGACAGACACGCAGGUUAGUAAACAUUUAAACUAGCAAAUGAAGUUUGAAGAAGAGCAGGGAGCUUACCACCAAUGUCACUGGUUGGUAUAUUGCUGGCCAUGACGCUGGCGAGGCGCUCGCACUGGCGGUCCAGCGUCCCCACCCAUCGUCGUGCACCAAAGGCGAGCCCUGAGUUCACAAGCAACUUGUAGAUGUUGUGCACCGACCUGUCAUCCACCUCUACGUGCUCGACCCAAGUCACCUGAUGCAUUGACACCAAGUACAAAUAUAUCAUGAUCAGUCUCUGAACCAUUACCUACUGAGAACGUGUGAAAACUGACAAAUUCGGGCAUGUACCUUCGAGUAGCCAUUGGGCAUUUCCUGGAUCAGGCAGCCAGAUGGCCGGCGCCGGCACUUGAGGACUGAUCCGGGGCGCAGGCUGUCCAGCGAGACGUCAACGACAGCCCAUGUCCCAUCAGCGUUCUGCUUGCAAUACCUCACGAAGUAGCUUUCCCUGGUCGGCACCAGCGGGGAAGGCACCUGAAACUCCACUGACAUCUGCAACAUACACGAAAAUCAGACAUGACUCGUUUCAGCCAUUAUCAGAUUGCAUCACCUCAGCUAUAGAAUUAUUGAUCAGAUAUAUGUAGUAACACGCACCACUUGCAAUGCACCGUUGUAGUUCCCGGCCACGCCAGUGGACAGCACCUCCAGUGUCGCUGCUCUCGACACCAUGCUCGAGAACACUGUCGCGUACUGAUUCUGCACAUCAUAAAUUGAAUCAGAAUUCAGUUAGAACAGGCACCCAUCAGAACAUCCUGAUGUUUAACACGAGAGAUUCAAACUUCAAAGCGUCCACACAUACCACGUCCAUGAGGAUCUCGACGAGGUUGGCAUGUGUCAUUAUAACCACCGAGCUGUCGCGGGACGCUUCAGACUUGAGCCCAUACUGCUUAGGGCCAAGCCCGCGAGGGAACAUGCGCGAGUACUCCUCCUCGUUCAGUGUCUCGCUCGAUCCGUCGAGCCCCGGUGCAUUCCAAAGCGGCUCGUCCAGCUGCGCCAUACGCACCAGCUCCUCCAUGGCCGUGACGGCCAGCUCCACGAUCAUGGGCUUAUCCGCGUCUGACUGCACGGCACCCCUCAGCAGCUCCCCGGCACCAGCAGUGACGCCACCGAAGAUGUCAGUAGCACCAUACGCGCCGGCACCCACGCCGAUGUCCAGCGUCGAGGCGCGCGCCGCAGCCAGCGGGCUGGAGAGCACGGGGAAGGACACCAUGGGCUUGCCCACGUACUUGGCCGCGAUGGCCGAGAUCCUGUCGAUCUCCUCGCGGAGCCGGGCAUUCUCGAUGCGGAGGUGGUGCUCGUCGAAGGACAUCUCGCCGAGCGCGGCAGGCCCGCCGCAGUUGGGGCAGGACGCGCUGCUCAGGGCCUCCUUGUACCGCAUGUUCUCGGCCCGGAGCUUCUCGUUGUCCGCCCGCAGCUGGGAGUUCUCCUGCCGCUCGUGCUGGUUCUGCAAAUCAGCCAUUCACACACACACACACUUCAGUCACAACAAUGCCAUUGAUCACCACAAGCAUGCAUUACAUGACGGGGUAUCUGUACCUGAACUAUCUCGUGGUUAACACUUGAGCAUUUAGCACAGGUUGUACAGGAUUAACAGCAACAUAUGCAUAUAUGCUAUGUGCAGCUGCUAGCUGUGCCUUGGUCAGAUGAACAGUGCUGUAAACGUAUGCCAGGUAGGCAGCAGCAGGAGUGAGGAAGACACUUGCAUGGGGUGGGGUUUGACUAUGGCUGGUGGCACUGCCUGGCAGCCUGCUGGGCUGUGGCAGCACAUUUGGCAGUGUGCAUGCAGAAGAGGACAUGGAGGUGUGUGGGCAACCUUUGUCCAGUUAUAGUAAUAGGCCAUGACCAUGAAUGCAGCUUGUCAGAGGCUAGGUCAGAGGCUUAAAUGAAGUAGUUGUGACGAUGCCGGCUUGGAGAAGCAAUUUUUCCGAUCGAAAUGCAUAUGCCUUUCUCCAGAGAAAUGAUGGGAGUGAAGAACUGAUUGAUUGGGAUUAAGGAUCAUCACCUUCAUUUGCGUGCGUUUGUUCUGGAACCAGAACUUGACCUGGAGUGGCUCCAGCCCCAGCUCCCGGCUCAGCUCCUUGCGCUGCUUGUCAUCCGGGUGUGGGCACUCCUUGAAGAAACUGGCGAUCAAUCAAUUUCAAAGAGAAAAGAACAAUGAGUAUUUUGUGAGUGUUGACUGACGAAUCAAAAAUGUUCCAGGAAAAAUAUGGAAUGAGAAAGGAAGUUCAGUGUGAACGCUAUAUACAGUCCUACACUCCUACUUCUUGAAUGCUUUGUUUGGUUCAGAGCAAAGGAACAAAAACGGUUUGGGUCAACGUAUACAAUACUCGUGAAGAAUCUGGACGAGCAAGAACUCAAUUUGACUUGUUCGCAAGCUUACAUCAGUAGUCUCAGUGAAUGCUAGUAGUAACCGACUGCUGGCUAUCCCUUGUCCUCUCCUCAUUAAUUUCAGCAAACCACCAACAUUUUAUGCAUAAUUUUUCCAAACUAAACACUGAUGGACGAAAUUGAUGUAAAAUUAAACAUGGACAGCAUUCCAAGAACAAUCUAAGCAGAAUUAAGGAAACAAGAGCAGAUUAAUGAGUACAGUAGGGUAUGGUGUCAUUACGCUUCCAUUUCCUGGAUCUGGUGCUGGGUGUGGCGGUGGUAGCGUUUCUUCUUGCUGGGCCGCUGGUUGGGGUCCUGGUCGUCCACGGAGACGCCGUCCACGUUCUCGCUGCCUGACUUGCUCUCGAACUCGUCCCCCAGAGGGUCGGAGCCCCGGCCGCCGCGCAUCAUGUCGUCGCCGCUCUCCGCCGUCGUCGCCGGGAUCUGGUCCAGCAGAUGCUGCUGCUGCAGCGCCUGCUGGAGCUGCGGGUUGUCCAGCAGGUUUGGCUGCAAUCAAGGAAGGGGAAUGAAGAACUUAGGAAAUCCAAAUCACUGUACUGGUGCACAAAUCAGUUGAAAUUAAUACACCAACUAAGUGCCAAGGACCGGGACGUUUGCCUAUCAUGCAUAUUGGGGCAUUCCGUGCGUUUCAUCUUCGCCAUUAAUUUGUAUAAAGUUUCAUGGGAAAAGAGAAACGGAAAAUAAUGGUUGCAAAAAAAGCAUUUUAUCAAGAAAAAUAAAUGAUUCCAUUGAGAGAAACAAGUCAGAUAAAAUGAAGGAGUUGCUCCAAAAUAAUUUCAGGAAAGGGGAUGGAGAGGGAGAUGUGAAAGCAAGCUUGCAAAGGGGGAAGAAGGAAGAAAUGGUAGGUCGUUUCUUGUUGAAGGGCCACAAGACGACCCAAAGAGCAGCUGGAAGAGCUACACGCCAACCUGUUGAUCUCCACAGCCUCUGUGUAUGUGUGUAAGACCAGGAACCAAGGGAUCGAAGUCUCACCUCUCUCCAAGCAUCUGUCCCAUUCAUCUGCCCCUUUAUAUAGGAGCAAGUCUUAAAGAAAUGGGGCUCAUGUACUCUGAUGACCUAAUCUAUGUGUGAACAGCAGUACUUGAGAUAACACCUCUCUCUCUCUCUCUCUCUCUCUCUCUCUCUCUCUCUCUCUCUCUCUCUCUCUCUCUCUCUCCUGAGACUUCUCGGUUUCCAAGGAAAAAGCUACUAAUCCUCGCAGGAUCAGUACAUGUAGGAGUAUAUUGCAGACAUGACCCUUCUGUUUCUAUCGCUAAUCCCAAGUUCUGAAACUGAAACCUCAAAUUGAAAUGAAACCUUUUACCAAGAGUGAGAAAGAGAAGACGAAAGGAAACAAGAAACGGCAACAAGUACAAGCUGAUCUUUCCGAAGGAAAGACAAGAAUUUGCUUUUGCCUCACUCAGCUCAAAAGAAAGCCACGAAUUAAUUACCUGACCGAGUGACAGUGCCGACGAGGACCCGUACGCCGCCGCCGCGCUGUUCCGGCCGAUCAUCAUCGACGGCAUGUGCCUCGCCGGGAUCAUCAUUCUCCUCUGACCACCUCGCAAACCCUAAUUUCUUGCCGUCUCAUUCGUUUCCAUUUCUUCAGAGACACAUAGGACAACUCUCUCUCUCUACAGCCAAAGAACAGGCGCUAAUCCUAUUCCUAUAUAGAGAUACCUUGCCUGCCAAGCAACAACACAGCCAGCAACAGAUCUAGGGGCAAACUAGCCCAAAUAAACCUUCGCUCUGUGAGACUGGCAGUGAGAUCUAGCAGAAGAACUAUAUAUGUUGUGCGCCUUUGCAAAAAUAGAACUCUGAUCUCUCUCUAUGUCUGCCUGCAAGUUGCAGCUCUCGAGAUGAUUCUUUACCGCGUGCAAGCUCAGAAGGGUAGCUAGCAGGAAGUGGAGAGACGGAGAGAUCCUGAGGAGCUAGACAGCCAUGGAAGGGGAAGGGAGGAGGAGGAGGAAGAGGAAGAGAAGAAAGGGGAACGGAGGUGGAAGAGAAUGUGGAGGAAGAGGGGAAGGAGUUAUUGCGGACGAGUGUUGAGGUGGUGCAAUCCGCAUUUAUUGAGAGGGCGUAUCGUAAUUGCUAGGAGAGAGAGAGCGAGACGGGUGCAUGAUUUUUAUAUUAUUUUCGUCAACAAUAUGUGUGCUACAAUACGGCGAAAUAUGCGAAAUAUGUCAUGUAUUUUGGAUUUAUUGGACGUCAUUAUAUACUUUUUUUCGUGGAAAAUGUGAAAAUAAACGUUCAUAUAUCUGCAUGUCAUACAUAUUUAUUUCAAGCUAUAUAUGUGUACAGCCAUAAAGGAGAAAAUUGACGAAGGCAGCAAGCCCAAUCAUGCAUUUUCCAUGUAAAGAUAGGCUUACAUAAUUUAAUUUGCCGGUGUAUUUUUCAUUUUUUUCUUGGUUAUUUAAUUUCCGGCUACGAGAUUGUUUGGCAGUGGACGUACGUCCUGUUCAUGAAUAAUGCACUGUUGACAAAUUUUUAAGACUAGAUAACCGCCGUAGUUAUUGAGUGAUGGAGAAGGAAGAGGUUCUCGGUUCUCCACUGCUACUUUUACAUUCAUCGUAUAGCAUAUGGAGCGUCCAAAUUAGGUGCCUCUUCCAUUGUAGCCAAGUAUAAGAGCAAAUGUUUAAAGCAGUGCUUCAUUUCUUUGAUGACCUGUGUGAACAGCAGCCAACUAAGCACUGCUCUCGAUGUCGACGGUGUUUCGCAAAAACAAAAAAGCUAGUCCAGUGCAAGUUUCAUAGAAAUUUCAUAUACGUUAAAUACGAUGACACAUUGAUAACAUGGCAAGGUAAUUAUGAAGUGAGAGAGGAAAAGAGUUUCAUCAGAGCAAGUAUAAUAAGAGGCUGUAAGCUGGCUGAAUGCUGACGUGGAGGAGAGAGAAGAGGUGAGAGAGGAGAAGCGGGCUAUAAGCUUAUAGCCGACUUGGGCACAGGAACCAAGAAACUUUGUGAGAAUGACUUGUGGAUCAUGUAUUAAUGGUGAAGAGUUAACCAUUGUACGAGUGGGCUAGGAAAAGGCUGAGAGAAACCUUGCAGCCCGCUUGCUAGCUGCGUUAUUAAACUUGCUCUCAAGAUGAAACUGUGUAUGCACUGUUUUCAAGACUACGAAACCUGUUGAAACUUGCAUUUGGGGCUAUAGAGUUUCAUUUCAUCUUAGCAUAUCCAAUCACAGGCCUCACAAUUAAAUGGUAUGGGUGUGAAAUAAAACUCUGCAUUGGGGGGUAUUGUUUCAUUCAUCAACUCAAACCUCUUUUGAUGGCAUGUCAUUCUUGGAAACUGUGAGGUGAAACUCUCCACUAGAAAUCAAACCUCUUUUGAUGACAUGUCAUUCUUGGAAACUGUGAGAUGAAACUCUCCACUAGAAAUAGCCUGAGUGAAAUAGGUCAGGUAAUUACAUGCAUGAUGCAUCAUCGGCUUGUGAUAGUAAUACAAUAACAAAACAAGUCAAAACUAAAAAAAAUGAAUGCCUUAAAAAGGACAAAAAAAUGUAUAUUAUGGCAUCUAAAAUGCAAGGUGUGUGCUUAAACACAAGUACUUGAAGGGUCAUAAGAGCGGUUUGAAGUUAAUUCCCAUGAGGAAAGCUACCAUGUGUACCAAAGUACGGUGCAAAUUUAAGCAUCUUAUCCACUUCUAAGAUGCAAUUCGCUAAUCAUCUUGGAUAAGCAACUACCACUCCUUUAUACCUUUAUAGGUCGUUUUGACUUUUCUAGGCGUAUAGUUGUUCUAUGCACUAGAUAUAGUGUAUGUCUGGAUGCAUAAUAAUAUUAGAAAAGCUAAAAUGACCUACAAUUUGAAACGGAGGAAGUAGUAGUAUUGUCAAUGUUGUUGGAUGAAGGUAUAUUUACUUCGGGUUUCAAGUGUUUGUUUUACACCGUUGACGUUUGGACUCUGCACAUGAUAAUCGUCUUGUUCAGAUUUCAGAAACCUAUAAACCUAUGUAAGGAGUAUAGUUUAUUUAAUUGUGACUUGUUUUAUUAUUAAAUAUAUUUUAAAUAUAAUUUAUAUUUUUACAUAAUAUAUUGAUUUUUAAUAAGACAAAUUGUUAAAUGUGGUUUUGAAAAUCAUGUCAAGCAUUUUAAAACGGAGGUAAUCCUCGCGAUGAAAUGCAUGCAUGCAUGCAACUAAUCCAAAUUUGACCGAGGUUUUCUCCAUCUUUUUAUAUCUCGACUUUUCAGGAGAAGGGGCGAAGAAAUCGAUGCUGCACUGCUGCAGAUAGUAGUGUACUGUUUCCAUAUAUACCUCGGCACGGCUCUUGGCGUGUGGUCUGAUCUUUCUGCGCACAAUAGGAAACACAGCCUUUUACUGGUCAGAGAUAAAUUAGCGAAAGAUUAGUAUAAGUAGAGAAAAACCUGAGUAUGUAUAGCAAAGAAAACGAUCCUUCGUGGCUGUAAAUGUCAUUACACCUGUACUGAUUUUUUGAGAGACGUCUGUUUCUGUCGCUGUACGGAGUGGACUGAAAAACGACGUGCCUAUCCUUUCCAGAAUUCUAUAGUUACGCUAGCAGUUUCCGUCGUUCAGUCACGACCCGUAGCGUCAUCACAAUGCACAAGAGCUCCGAUCCAGCCGGGAAAAAACAUUCAAGAUUACUCCAUGCGCUUAGUGUGGUCGAAACAAACAACGCAAUAGUCAAAAUUAAUCUGUUCGCACGUACAAGCUAGCAUCAUUUAAGUGGCAGAGAAACCACAAUCAGAACACACAUAAACCCGGCCUUACCAAACAGGUGUGGGCAUGCAUGGACGUCAUGUCGUCAAUGUUUUCAUUUGGAGUAAGUACUUCCUUCUUUUGUCAAUAGCUAGCGAUCCAUCAUCUCCUGGCCUGCCGUGCUGGCUCAAGUCAUUUGUCUUUUUUCGCACGGAUCGAUCGGCGAGAUCCUACGUACCAAACUAAUCAUGCAUGUGUGCGUGUGUGUGAAGGGAAACGAAUGUCAAUCUUAAACCUUUUGGUGCAUAUGGAUGCAUGUUGGCUCGUCGUUGACCGUGCACCGUCCUCUUGUGUUUCUUCCUUGUGUUUUUUUUUGCUCUCUCUCUCUCUCUCUCUUAAAAAAUAUAUGUCUGUUUACAUUGUGUCAGUGUCACUACGCAUGAGCGUCAAGCCGUCAUCUAAUUUAAUUUUCUCGAAACAUACAGACGUGUCCAUGCACAUGUACACAUGCACCCAAUCCAGUACCCACAUUCAGAGGCCAUACUUGGUUUUGUGAUGAAACGAAAGUACCCACACGCAUUGAACAGUUUACUAGUUUUCAAUUUUAGUUGGUAAACAUACUACACUAAGAAUCCCAGUAUCGAAAUCUGUGCUAGACGCUUUUUUCGUCCAAAACAUCAUUACAUUUUUCCCUAAAAUUUUGUCGCUCUGUACGGGACGGUAGGUGCUGGUGAGUGUACGUACGAGUAGUGCUCGGCGUGAGCUGGAGCCGCGCUUAUUUCCCCCCCUCUCCCCCCUUCUCCUGACUCCACAGUCCACCGCAUUGAAUUGAAUGGCCUCCUGAGCAACACCGCGUGAGGUGGGAGCCCACGCCACGCAGUCGCCAGCACCAGCCACCCCUACUCGACCGCCGGGCACAGCACUGCACCGGGGGGCUAGGCUAGCCGGCCCGGCCAGCAUUAACUGCGUUCAUGCCUCCCCCGCGUCGCCCAACGGCACCACCCGCCGGCAGCCCGGCCCCGCACCGCCGCGGAUCGGAGGGGCCUGGCCACGGGAUUCGGCCGAUCCGGUGGCGCCAGUACCGAUCGCCGCGGCCUCGUGCAGUGCAUGCGCGUUUCUGAUCGAGGUCGAGACCCUCCAUCGGCCGUUUUCAUCUCACCCAGAUUCAUGAGGCCAAGUCGUACGUCGAAACAAACACCCAAGAUUUCUCCUGAAAUCGUCCAAUGCAUAUGUAGUCUCUGACUACGAGGUUCCCCCAAAUAUCGUGGAUCGGGCAUUGACCUCACUUUGAAAUGUUAUCUCCAAAUUUCGUGGAUCGGGCAUUGACCUCACUUUGAAACGUUCUUUCCACCUGUGCCAAGAAUUCCACUGACUUCAACCGUAUCGAUCAAAUUUUAAUAAGCUCGGAAAGGGUCAAUCGAUCGAUCCUGCGUGAUCAGUGGCUGCACGAUCCGUCGAGCUCAGGUUAACCUGGACUACUGCUGCUGACACUGUAGAUGAUCGGACGAAUGGCAUUGGAUUUUCACCCAAUUGAACAAUUGAGUUCAUUGUUCCCGUUCCGUACCAAUACCUGUGCCUCCUCUCGGAAACAUGCGAGGCUCCACUCCACUCCACCUCGAAGUUUGCGCCAUGGCAGGUGGUGGUGUACACUGUACAGGUCAAAUUUCCGGUGAAAUGCUCUCAUUACAUGAACGCAAGUACACUUCUUCAGAUGAAAUACUACAUCACAGCAAGCAUGUUACCUGCAGUACCCAGAAGCCUCUUUCCUUUUCCCUUCGACGAGGGCGACGGCCAGGUCAUCGUAUGCCACGAAAUCUUCUUCCCCAUGCAGCACCGCCAAGGCAGACUCGGUCAGGCAGGCACACACCAUGUCCGUAACAAACACCCCUGGUCAAGAAGGAACACACACGCACCGUCUGCAGAAAGCUGCAGCCUUCCAACCGAUCUGGACCCCCAAUGACGACUCCAAAAUCAAAACCUGUUCGCAAAUCCAGUUGCCUCGAGCACACGUACACCGUCUAGAACCUCAGCCCACCCGAGCGUGCUCGGCUCGCAAGACCGGCCGGCUGGCGGCUGCUGCUCGCAUCGGCUUCUCUGAUCCAUCUCAAUUCAAGGACGCUGCCGCCUGCCUGCCUGCCUGCGAACGCUUGCAGUGGGGGCUCACUGGUCGCCGUCAACAUUGCAUCAAUCUUCGGGCAUGUGUGCAUGGACCCAUACCACACUCUGACCAUCUGAACAAUGGGACAAGGGCACAUUUACAAUGUAGGGUCCGGUCCAGCUGCACCCAUCGAAUUGGAGAGUCCUUGUUUAAGGGUUUCUUCCUUUUCUCUCUGCAGAAAAAAAUGGAAACAAGAGGGAAGAAAGAGAAAUGAGUGUUGAUCAUUAUAGUAGCCUGUCAUUUAUGAGAGUCAACUGCUAGCUUCUCAACUAAGCCGGGUUGGUGAUUAGUGUACUUGGCGAUUAGGUUUCAGUUUCAACAUUUAUACAGUAGUGCCGCCCGAUAAUCAGGUUUCAUUAUCACGGUCAAAUAUGUGGAGUCGAUGUCAAUCAAGAAAGGACUGUCAGAAGGCCGUACGGGGCUAUAUGAUCCAACUAAUGAUGGCACCAUUAGGCUUUCUUUGGAAGGAAUAGGAUUUUAUUGCAUUGAGGAGAAAGAAUCGCAGGAUGCUUACUUGUCAUUCAUUGAGAAGUUAUUAUUGCUAUGAGCCCUUGUGGACUGUCUUUUCCUUUCCUUUUGUUCAGUGCAGCCGGCCGUGCUUCCCUCGCCAUUGCCCUUCGCCGCCUCUCCUUGGAUGCAAGCUCCCUGUGCAAAUCCGUCCUUACACGUGUCCUGUCAAAAGAAAUAAAUCUCCUUUACAAGCCAUUACUGACAUCAGUUGCAUGAUUGAUUGGACUUCUUAACUGUAACAGCUUAUGGGAUUUAAAAAGGGCAUUGCGGCUAACAAAGGCUCGCAGAUUGCCAUUGUACAAACAAUAUCAGAAUUAAACUGAUGUGGAAGGUACAAUGAUCAAAGCACCUGAUUGUGGAAAGUAACGGAUAAUUAAUAGGCCCGAGUACUAAGUGCUCCACCAGAUACCCAUUAACCCAUCAAUAGUUGAGAUUUGAGAAUAGAUAGAUCAGAAUGAUUUAACAUCGAUUAGUACCGUCACAGGCAACUGACUGGGUGAAGAUCAACUUUUUUAGAAAAAUAUGCAGACAGCUGGAGCUCAAAUAGCAUGGUUUCUUAGCCAUCUUUACUGAUCACUACACUUAUGAAUACACUUCCUACUUUAGAUUUAUUUGUCUAGUCCAAGAAAAGGAAUUGUCCUUUAUAUGCAACUUUUACUGAUUACAACACUUCAUAUACACGGUAUAUUUACAGUCCCUAAUAUCCAUUUGUAUGUCCAGUCCACUAGCUAUCAUAGCUGUCUCUGUUGACAAAUCUCACUGUGCUUGUUUCAUACCUUUCCAUAGCGAUGGAAUCCAUCUGUUUUGUAGGGGACCACUCAUCAUCACCAGCCGUGGAGAUGGCCUAACGGGAUUCUAAUGAUAUUGGUGACAUAGUGUAAUUACCAACAACUCAACAAUACAUUCUUAUGAUUCAAAUGUACACUUUGUGGCUCUACUCUAUGUCAUAGCGCCUAGGUAUAGAGUUUUAAUGUGUGGAAAAGAUACUCGCACCUAGAAAGCAUAACACAACCACACAACUGUAGGCUACAGAUCAUUCUCAGAUACCCUGUAGGCGAACACGUAUGUAGAUCAACAAGCAACACUCAUCAACAAGAAACCAUUACCUAUGAAAUAUACUCAGCAUAAUCCUAGUGUGCAGACCUCUCUACCGCAUCAAGCAACCUAGAUUUAGAUGGAACCCAUUCAGUUGGCUUGGCGUUUACAAAUAUAAAUCUACUUCUCUCUCUUUCCAUUUCAUUGCAUGAAACUCAUACAGCUGGUCCUGCAAUUUCUCCAAAUGAUUAUGGAAAUUUUCAAGAGAGAUCGCUAAGUGUGUGGUAGGCUAGGUACGCCAGUCUUUCAGAUAGAGAAACCUCUAACCAACCCUAGCAUUAAGCCAUGAUGAUGGUGAUAUCUACCGCUCAUGAGUGCAACUUGCUCCAAUGGAUAAAUUCCUGUCAAGAAUUGAAAUAUUCAAUGAUGAAGGGAGGACAAUAAAUCCAGAAAGUGAAACAAGCCCUAUUCUCCACCCAACCAGCACACCAAGGCGUCUUCAUUUCCAUACAGUUAACCCAUGGAUGCAGUGCAUGACAAGUAGCUUCUAAUUAUCAGGCACGUAUCCAUCUUUCUUUUCUCCAAAAUGGCUAGAAGUCUAGAACUGAAGAUGUGGCUGCAUUCUGCGCAUGCAUUACUGUCCUGGGACCCAUAACCAGGAAUUGCCAAUCCUAAAUUCAGCUUAAUAGUUAUCUCUUACUUUGCAUAUAAAGUAUAUUUCCUAGCUGUCAGCAUCACAAUAAACACACACUAUGCAGAUGAUUGUAGUAAACAGAGUAAAAACUACCAUUGCGUAAAGCCAACACUAAAGGUUUGUUGAAGAAACUUUUAUCAUAAGUUAUGUGGCAACUUUUAUCAUAACUUUUAUCUUACCACAGAUGAUAGAUCUGAUUAGAUGAUAAAGCUGCAAGUAUUGCUUCCUAAUCCAUACAUAAUUCGACUUGUACCAUGAAUAAUGUCACAUUGACAUUGAGAUGUUGGGACCACUAAAUUGUAUUAUUGUUCUGGCUGAAGUAGAAAUGUCAAUUGCUGUUUCUUCUGUUGCUUAAACUCUAUAUCCAGAAACAGAGUGGUAUUGACACUGGAGCCCCUGCAGUUAUUAUAGUAUGCCCUAGAGAGAAGGUACUAAAAGCAAUACAUUAUGACUUAUGCCUCGUGUCUCACUCCUAGACUUUUGGGGGAUCAAGCGCUUUACUACACCUUUUCACAUUAGUAUGUGUAUUAAUAAGGCCUUCUCUGUGCACCCGUUAUUUGCCUCCCUUUAAGGAAUCUCCAUGGUAUAGGAUUCCAAGGCUGUGCUUAAAUGUUUGAUGUAAUAGUCAAAGACAACAGUCUUUAAAGAGUGUCCUAACAAAAGGCCGGCAUGAUGAUCAAUUUCACUUGGUCGUAUUUAUAAGGGUUGGGCCCAUGAUUGUUUACUUAAUCAAAAACAGAUCCCCCCCCCCCUCCCUUUUGGAUCAUCGCCCUUUAAAGCAAAAUCAACAUGACACUUGAAUGCCAGCAACAUUUGCUUUAGCUCCAUAAAUAUAGUAUAGGCAUCAUUGUCAUAUUCCUUCUACUCAAUUGAUGAAUUAAACAACCACAUAACUCCCAACACUGUUUCAACUAUCCAAAUCAAAGCUAGGCUGCCAAGUAAUAUGAAGGUUAAUCAGCAUUAGAAAGGCAAAUCAUUUCUUUCCUAGUUUAUAGUUUCACCUAAUUGCAAGCAGGUACAAAUGCAAAUAUUGAGUUUAUAUCAAACUACAACCAAUCAGCACUUGGGGUUGCAGAAGCUAGGCUAGAAAGGAAAAUCAACACUAAGAGGCUAACCUGCUAUCUAAAACUUGUGCAUCUUUGGACCUUGGAAUUUCCUUUUUCAGUCAAGUGAGUUCUCUCUCUUUACUUCACAAGUCAAACAUAAUUAAGAUUCAUGUCCUGAAAAGAAUAGUAAAAGAGGUAAAUUUACCUCCUAAUAUAUGAAGGGAAAAUUUAAAGAAGAAUUACUAGAAGGAAAAUAUUCUGAAUAUAUUAACUAUAUGCAUGACCUACAAGAGUAAGCAAAACAAUCAUUGCAAUUUUUCAAGAAACGAAAUGAAUCUCUUCUGAAGCAUCCCUUUCCUAGUCAUGUACUCUUGGUGCUUAUAUGCAUUCCGCCCUUUCACACCACUCUUUCCAGAUCCACGAACCCUUAAUUGUAACUAAUUGUGAGGGUAUGUCUAUAAUAAAUGGAUUUUCAUAUGCCAAGGCAUUCUAAGCUAUUUUUUGGUGAUUUUAUCACUCAACUUAGUUCUGGUGUGUUGUGUAUUGCACGGAUACAAAAUAGUAAAAGAUGAAAGAAAAGAAAUGUUGACCGAAGAUACAAAACAAGGCAAGCGCACUAGAGACGAUCUAAUUUUAAGUAAUCAAAACUGCUAAAGCCUUUCAACUUCAAUCAUAUUGGACCAGAUAGCCAAAAUCCUAAUAAAAUUUCAUCCACAAAAAGGCCAUUUUCUUUUUGAACAUAGAAUGAGCAGCAGUCAACUUAACCAAGAUCCAGGCAAAACCUGAUCACUUGCGAUAUGAAGAUUGGUUCAAAUCCUGAUCCAUUGUACAAAGAUUCGACACUAGAAACCUCUAGACCGGGGCCUAGAGAAGUGGUGACAACCAAACAAAAUACAGCAUAAGAACAGCAUGCAUUUAUGUAGUAUUGGUGGCUCCGUGCUGGCCUGGGAAGUAAUUUAUACCUUGUCUUGAAUAGUGGACCAGCUACCUCCAGAAUGGGGUCACAGAGCACAUCCAAUGGUCCCCAGAGACUUAUUUCUGCUGCAUUCACUGCUCUUUUCUUACAGCCUGCACCAGUGUACUGUGAGAGCAAACACAGGACAAUCUAGUAUACCCGAUGCACACAUCGGAUGAUAAAGAAAGAAAUUCAGAUAAAAUCACAAAAACAUAUCAAUAAUGUGCAGAGUUCUGUAAGACUUACAUUGUUCUUUGGCUUUCUUUUCGCUGUAUGAAGACAGAUCUCUGCAUGAUGUAUAAAUUUCUGCAGAUACUAUUUCUUAAAGGUUAGAAAGAAGCACAUGGUUAAAAAAAGAAAUCACAAUAUAUCAAGCUGUUUGUACAUAUAAUAAAAGGAUAAUAUAUCCAGAAUGAUAAAUAACAGAAGGUGUUAAUUAAACUUGGAACAGCUAGAAGUUGGCAGGUAAACCAUCUAUUAAAUCAAUAGUAAAGAAUUUACAUAGAUAUACAGACUAUAUUUCUAUCGACUCCAUGGUUGGCAUUGGUUGGCGACAUCAAUUUCUUAUUCAAAGUUUCAAACUUCCCACAAGGAAGUCACUCUGCUUUUAUAUCAGCUUUUGCUUCCAGAAUCAGAACAUUUCAAUUAUUGCUGAGAAGUUCAACUUCAUAGGACAACUACAUAUAUAUAAGAAUUAUUACAUUAUGUUUGAAAACUACAUUCAAGAAAGAGAAAAGAUACUUCUGGCAGAAAUGUAAGUGAAUGUGCCCUAAACAGCGUGCUAUGGAUUGACACCUGAAACAGCUUACAGAACACAGAAAUUUUAUUGGUAUUCGAUGGUACACAGGGGGUCAGAACUGUUUAAUAAAUUUGAAGAGCAAGCUACUUCCUCAAGAAAACGUGUGGCCUCUAUUUACGAAUACACCAUAUUAGAAUCUUUUUCAGCAGACAAGGAUGGGUGGGAGCACUGAAUAACCAAGUACACAUUGUACCAAUGGAAAAAAUGCUAUUGUGGCUCCAUUUUGUCCAGAGUGUGCAAAAUAUGCAUGCCAAUUGCCAAUCAGACACCAUAAAAAUAGUCUGCACGACUACAUGACAUGGAGACAAUGUAUUGAUCUUUCUUAUUAUGUUCUGACAUGCACUUCGCAAUGUGGUUCUCACUACAGCACAAGUCCAGUUGGACGACUGAUUUUGAUACUUAGUUUAAUAUCCAAUCAGUAAGUUCUCAGUAAAUCUGCAAGGUACUGCCUAUCCUGACUUACACAUAGCACUCGAAAAAAAUAGAAAUGCCUCAACUUGAAGAAAUGACUUAUUUCUCAGAAUUCUGCUUGUACAAUUAAAACUAGGAUUAGCUUGCUAGAGAAGUAAACUUGCUGAUUUAUGCAGAGGAUUCCCAUGAGCACAAACGAUAUGUAAACUAAGGCUGCCAGAAGAGAUAAACCAAGUGGAUAACUAUUAAAUGCAGAUCAAACAUCGUUUAUUUAUCUGUUAAACACGACAUCACAUUUUGGAAAUGCAGCCAGCCACUUGUACUGAACAUAUUGCGGUGACAGGAAUAGCUGCACAAAGAUUUCUAAGCUGUAAAAUUAUAAACAGGAUCAGACUGAACGCGGAUGUUAGGACAUAAAUCAAUGUUAAUCGAUGCAUAAAAGUGUGAGAAAACAGAUGUUCCUAAACCACACAUCAGUUACCUGAUCCUGUACAAAGGUCUGCAAAUUUGGUCAAGGUUCCCGGUUUGCACCACUUGAAGCUUCAGAUGGGAUAAGCAAUUCAUCAGUAAAACCUACUGCACCAUGAAUAGGAAACAAAAGAAGAUUCCACCAGCAAGUAGAACACAUGGACCAAUGCAUCAAAACCAUGAUCACAAAGAACAGCUCCACAUAUAUCAACAUUGUGAAUUUGUUGUCCAUGUUUUCCCGAAUAUAGAAUCACAAACGCAGCACCAGCCAAAAUUGCUCCAACAGCAUUCAGACAGAUAGCCGGAGAAGAAUUAGAGAGAUACAGCUAAACUCCUGUGCUCACAUUGACAUCAAUGGACAAGAUCAACCAGCGUCUUCCUCCGGGGGAACCUCUGCGGAAGCCGAAGGGACAUGGAAUCCUCAAUCUCGAUGGGCAGGUGCGUGGCCACGAACACGAUCCCACCCUUCUUCCGGUGCUCCGCGAUGAUGUACUCGAGCAGCCUAGUGCCAUCCGCAUCCAGCGCGACGGAGGGCUCAUCCAGCAGCCAGAUCGGGCGGUCGAUGGCUAGCAGCCUAGCGAGCUGCAGCCGCUUCCGCUGCCCCAUGGAGAGCAUCCUGGCCUUCUCGUUCAUGAGCCUGCCGAGCCCCAUGAGCUCGAUGGCCGGGCCCGCCCUGCUGCCGUCCUUCCCCUCGAGGAGCUCGAACCACUGCACGUUCUCCAGCACCGUGAGCUUCUCCUUGACGGCGUCCUUGAGCGACAUCCAGUUGAGCUGCAGCUUGUACUGCUGGAACACGCCCGAGGAGGUGACGUCGUGGCCGUUCCAGAGGAUCUCCCCCGCCGAGGGCCGCGAGAAGCCCGCCAGCAUGCGGAGCAGGGUGGUCUUGCCGGAGCCGUUGGCGCCGGUGAGGACGAGGGCCGUGCCGUCGUGGACGCUGAGGUUGAUGUCCCGGAGCACCGUCUGCGCGUUCCGCAUGCACGAGACGUUGUUGAGCAGGAGCCGCGGCGGCGGGGGGCGUAGCGGCGGCAUCUGGCCGAGUGGUCGGGUGGCUCGGGAGCCGGUCAGUCGGUUGGAGGUGGACGGACGGGCGCGGCGAGGUGGGUGGCCCCGGGGUAGGGAUGGCAACGGGGCGGGUCGGGGUCAGGUGGAGCUUCAGCAGAACCGCCCCCGAAACCGGAGAAUAAAACUCGCCCCGAACCCGAACCUCAUUUCGGAUGACAACGUGCACCCGCCCCCGAAACCCGCGCGUGCCCGACACCCGACGGGGUCCCCGAAACCCGAGCAACAGUGAANNNNNNNNNNNNNNNNNNNNNNNNNNNNNNNNNNNNNNNNNNNNNNNNNNNNNNNNNNNNNNNNNNNNNNNNNNNNNNNNNNNNNNNNNNNNNNNNNNNNGUGAAUUAUGUACCGUCACACAUUUAGUAGUUAGAUAACCUCUAAGUAAAUAGGAUGACCGGCAACAUAGCGAUUUCUUGAAUCUAACUAGCUCUUCUUGGUGAGGGGGGCAGUAGAAGGGCACAUGCGACUGACCGCGGGGGGGCGAGGGCGGCCGACGAGGGGGCGCGGGCGGCCGGCCGGCGGGGGGCGCGGGCGGCCGGCGAGGGGGCAAGGGCGGCCGGCGAGGGGGCGAGGGCGGCCGGCCGGCGGCGCUCGCGGCCAGUGGUGGAGACGGAGUGAGUGAUGGUGGGGGUGGGUGUUGUUGGAGAUUACAUGUUUCUCGUUGGGCUGGGCUUAUAUUUAAUUGUUGGGCUGAAAUAUAUACUUGGGAUCCAUGGAUUACUCGCGAGGGAAAUUUUAAACCCACCUGCCCCCGCCCCAUUUCGGAUCCCGAACCCACGGGGGAAACACAGACCCAUCACUGCCUCCAUCGGGUCGAAAACCCACGAGUUUCGGAUUUAAACCUGCCUGACUGCCAUCCCUACCCCGGGGUGGAGGCGGUGGCGAUGGUUGGGGGAGUGCGGCGGCGCGCGGCGCGCGAAGAGGCCGUAUGGGAGGGCUGCUGAGAGGAGUGAGGCCGGUGUUGGGCCGUGCGGACUGGGGAGUACCUGAGUUGGUUGGUUGUGGGUGGGCUCAGUGUGGUUUGGUAACUGAGCCUAAAGUGGAGAUGGUAAUUGGGUCGCCUUCUCCCAAAUCUUGAACAUUAACAUUUCUACAAUUUAACGAUUUGAGAUGAAAAUAGACAUGAAAAAUGGCGGCUAAGUACUAAAGUUCGAAACAGAAAGAUUUGACAUGAACAAAGCUGAACAGGCGUGUCUGUACGCGCGCGCCUCGUCCUUUGAUUGUAAAGGCGUAGUAAUACUGAAGUUUGAAGAUAGCUUUUGAGUUGUCAAAAAUAGUAGUGAAUGUAGACGGCUACUGCAUGACCCAAUAGCAGGUAGUAUAAGAACCUUUAUCUUGAAUUCAUGAUGAAGACAAAAGUUAAGUUUACGGGUUGAACUUGAAUUGUAAGGUUACAAUGAUGAUCACGUCAUUAGCUAGUUUAACUUGCAAUGCAUAUUGUGCAAAUUUACCGGUAGAGAAACGAGCAGUAGUCCCGGUUGGAAAAUCUCGUAGAUUUCGAUUCUCCCUACCGGGACUUAAUCAUGAGAAUGGCAGGUGCAUGGCGAGAUCGCGAGAGAUCCCAAGGAUCUGCGCCAAUUUGAGGUCGUACGUGGUGAGUUAUGGACGGGUAUCAGCUAACAUGAUCCAUCGGUUAUGAUACCACGCACGAUGAUUUGGGCGUUAUUAUUAGCCGUUGGGCUCUAUCUGCAUGGUGCUGUGCCCAUCCAAAGCAUGCACGGGGGCAGCAUGUAGUGAGACGAGGUGACGAUGAUGGAUGAAGUCAGCCGUGAUGCGUGCGUGACGUAGGCAGCGGAGGCCACGUUGGUUGCUGGACCUGGUGCGGCAGACAUGUGGACUGGGUACACAUAUACACAUGCAUAUGCUAGUACACAAUGCAAUGUGGCCCAUGAGGUCCCAAUAGCCAAUUCCCCGGCGGUACAUGGAACCCAAGAAUUCGUCGACACCUGCUGCUUGGCCAAAAAAGAAAAGGAUCGGAGCUGACUGUUGCUACCUUUUAGGGAUACACGGCCGAUCGCUUGGCGUGGCUGAAUCCACGGCGAUGGCCACCUCUGAGCGAGACCUGAUGGGACUUUGACGCGGUGUUUACGCGAUCGAUCGACAGUAACCUCCUCAGAGACAGAGCUCCUCGUGGUCGUUAAUAAUUGAACGCAACAGACGAUGGUUUUUUUUUUAGAACCGUACCCAUCCAUCACUUCAGCGGCAGCAGCAAGUAAACAAAAGGAAAAUCUCGGCAAGUUCUGAUCGAGAGGCUGCGGCGGCAUUGUUAAAGUCGCCGUCGCCGUCGCCGGCGAUCUCUCGAGGGGCGUGACGACCGCGAGAGCACAGUGCCAUACGGAUUCGUCGUCCGGCCGGCCGUUGGCUAGCUUCAGAUAAUACUCGUGUAUAUCCUUUGCGUGUUGCGUGAAACGUGAUCCACCAAUGCAAUCCGCUGUGAUCGCCGCCGGAUCGGAUUAGGUGCCGCGCGCGGGCGCAGACGUGCUCGAUCAGUCGCCGCCCCCAUGCCCCCAUGGACGUGACCCCCGGAUCUCGUUUUCCUUUCGCCGGCUCUCCACCAGCACGAUCGCCCACAGCCGCGCAUCGUGAUCUCCAUGCCCCCUCUGAAUCUUUGCCUGAUUCUUCCGCUCCGUGUCCGAGGCAACUUUUCGCCAUUACUGCACUGCUACUACUACUACCGAUCCUGCUCAAUUUUCGACCGAGUUGAUGGAACGUAUGGCCACAUGGGAAAACAAAAGCUGUUUCAUAAUCCAGUUCACACAGACCAGAAAACCUGCAGCAGCUGCAGCAGCAGGUGAAGUGGAGCUCUCACUGGGAAUACACGUCAUUGGCCAGUGCUGAUAUACAUCACAACCGCCUCAUCGAUCGACUCAAUCAGCUGGAAAAGUAGUACACUAUGAUAGUUAUUAUCAUUAUAACCGAUACAAUAUACGCCACAUGGUACUGUGCCUAGAACAAUUCUUGAUCAUUACAGAAUAAAGUAUGCAACGGGAAGAUUCUCGGAGAGGGAUUUUUCAACUGUAUUCCACUGACAGACUGUUCAAACUCAUGUACUGCACCCACUAUUCUUAUCUGUUCCUUCCCUGCAGCUAUAAUAGCCACGGACUAUAGCGAGCCUUCACUCGACAUCCAGAGCUACCAAAGCAGAACAUCAGAGAAGAAAAGCUUCAGCUUCGGCUCCUUCUUCUUCUUCUUCUUCUUCUUCUUCUUCUUCUGCUACUUCAUUCAUACAGGCACUGAACAAACAAUGGAGAACAAAUCACCAUCCUCAUGCGUCAGCCCAGCACCCACAUCCACCAUGUCAGCCGGCGAGAGCAGCUGGGCGGUGCACAUCGCAAGCUUCCUCGCGUCGUCACCGCAAGACAGAGGGAUGGAUCAGCAAGCAGCAGUCUCUGGUGGUAGCUUCUCCUCCGGUUUCUCUUCUUCGUUCAAUUCCUUCGACGACGAUGUAUCCUUCAUCACGUCUGAGCUGAUGUGCGAUGACGACGAAGAAGAUGAGUCUCUACAGGACACUGCCUGUUCUUCUGCAGCUGCCACAAAGGUUAGCAAAACUGGAAAAGAUUCUUUAGUUCAUAGCUUGUCAAACAACAACAUUACGUAGCUUGCCUUCUAACGUGAUUGAGGUUUGUAUAUACACAGGUAGCUACCAUGGAAAAUUUUGAUAUCAAGGCGAUGCCAAUCAUGGAUGCGAAAGAGUUCAACAUGCCCCAGCUGGUAUAUGCUUCUGAAACAGUCUCUUCACUUUCUUUUUGCAGAUGAUGAUUGCUUGCCCCUAGUUUUACUUACAUUUGUGUGUUCUUGGGAUAUUGCAGGCCAAGUACUUUGAAGCUGUGGGUUCACAACAACCAGUGACCAAAGCGGAUCAACAACUGAUCAAUAGUUAUAGUAACAACGCGAAGGCACUGUAUGAGAGUAACGAGCUAAGGAAGAAAGGGCUUUGCUUGGUCCCUAUCUCCAUGUUGAUAAACUAUCUCGGAUGAUUAAAGUUCAUGUACUACCAUUAUUCAAUGUAAUUGUAUACAAUUAUAUAAUAGUUCAUACAUCGCACUCUUCUGUCAGCUAAGAGAACCUACUCCCAUCCAGCUGUUGAGCUUUUCUGAUCAUACCAUUCAAACUAAGAGGAAAAGAAGUAUUCAACUAUGAAAAAAAAGAAGCAAAUAAGCAAAACAAGAUAAUCGAGUACAUGGCGGUGAGAAAAACUUCUGAGGGAUAAGGGUACCCACGACCCCCACCAAUCACGCCCGACUGUGCCGUGUGGGCUAAGGUAUGAAGACGCGUGGAGCACAAGCCAGGAGGCUGGGCGAAUCAAUUCAGCCCGUAUAUCACGGGAUAUUUGUUGUAAACCGACUCAGAUUGCUUUCCAUGUAACAACCGACUAGGAUUAGAUCCUAUCCUAUCCGAUUAUAACCCUAUGUCAUCAGCCUAUUGACGCCCCUGAGGGCAGAUCGACUCUUCGCAUCCCAUACCAGCAAUACAAUCCACCAGAACAUAGGACGUAGGGUAUUACCCUCCGGAGGUCCGAACAUGUCUAAACCUUGCACCCCUGUGUUAACAUUCGAGCUCUUGGUCUCACGAUCUCCCCCGCCUACAAAUCUACCACCUGAGUAACCCCCUGGUGGACUGUCGAUCACUAAAUCUGAUAGUUGGCGCACCAGGUAGGGGUGAUCGUAAGAUCCUCCCCAGCGAGCUCGAUGGCAUCCCGACUCGGCGUCAUUUUCCCCAAGAGCAUAAAGGACUUCCUCGCCAAUCCGAUCCAGCUCCGCUUCGGGAGCGGUGGACUCCGACUCCACCGCCUCCUUCGCCGUCUCGGCGUCCGCCGCUAGCUUAGCAUCCGUCGGAUCUGCUUCGAUGGAGUAAAGUCUUCACCCGAGGUUCAUCAUGCCGCUUGCCCAACAGGUCGGCGAUCUCUCUUAGAGGGUAAACCGUGCAGUGUAACGCGUUGGUUGCUUGCAAGUUCGAAACAUGUAUCACAGAGAAAUUUGUCAAACUUUAUGGUAUAAUAUAUGCCCAUCGCACAGAAACACAGGUGAUUAACCAGCAAUUAGUAUAGCGUAACAGCUUAGUUACGGUGUGAAUCACGAACUUAACAAAUUAAUAAUAUGAUUAGCUGCUUCAGUCAGUUUGAAGUCCACAUGGUUAGGGAUUCCCUUGCGUUUGUGCACACGUCAGUAAUAUGAUGACCAACUAGAAGCAAGCUGUAAUACUGACCUCAUGACACUGGAAGCUAGCAUAUCUUUAAUGAGUGGCUAGUACAAAAAACCUGCUUAAUUAGUUAGAAUAAGCAUAAGCGGCAUCUCUGACCUUCCAAAAAUACAAAGUCCUGACUAAAUCAAAACAAGUAAUUUAGUCUUCAUGGAAAAGUUCUGUUCAAUAAUUCAUACACUCAUUGCAGAGGUUCCAACUAGCAACAUUUUUCUCUCACAAAAUAAGAUAUUUGCAUGUGCUACUACAAGGAGACAGUUAGCAUCAAGUGGACCAUGAAUUCUGGACAAUGUAAGAAUAUUCUACGGAAUUCCCCUAAAUAGUACCAAGCAUUGGCAUUUUAAAGGACAUGAGUGUCCUAGAGACAUGCUUCUCAUUCAUCUUACUGGAAUUUACAUAAGCCCUUCAGUUUUCGAAAGAACAUGAACCUUUCUGACUGUAAUACCUGUUUAGAGUUCUGAAAGUUUGGCAACCAAGUGCGCCCCUCUAUCAUUCAAAUGCAGAACAGAAUCAAAGAUGGGCUCAAAUACUAGUUUACUCCAUGGGAAAGAUAAAUAUGCACAUUGCAUGGCACAUUUCUGUGCAUUUAUGAUCUUUUGAUGUCCCACGACACUUAUACUGAGUAGAGUAGCUAGCUGGAAAAGGCAACGGUUAUUUUAAUUUGCAAGUUGUGACUAUUUUUCUGUUCCACUAUACAUCCCUAGUGUUUCCAAACGGACAUUUUCCGUAGAAGAGCUCAUUGGAUAAGUCUUUAAUUAAAAAAACCCACUUGGCAUGUCUGACUGGCAUCCUCAGUAUUCAUCUAUUCGAUGGACUUUUUGGUGCCAACCUAGCAUUUGUAGAUUUAAACAUCACAGCUGUUGGGAAGUUCUUUAGAAUACAUAGUCACUUACAGGAGUCCAUGAUAAUCACUAUAGUUGACAACUGAACUAAAGUGCCAACAAUCUGAAUAGUGAGGCAUUUCAGAGAUAUUUAAUGCGAAAAUGUAUCAUUCGAGAAAAAUGAAGAAAGAAUGACAAAAGGCUGAUACAGAGAAGGGCAUCUUUCAUUUAACUGAAAAUACUAAUCAACGCAUAUGCCAAGUUAGAAUUUGGAAUAUUGGCUACUACCAAGCUGGAGUACAUCAAGCAUAUGGUUCUUCUCUAUCUAAAAGGGAUUCCCUGUUCAGUGUCACAUUGCUACUACUUGUAAUUAGUAGGUGACCUUGGGACAUACUGAAGUGUGAAUCUAAUCGCAGGCCAGUGACAACCGCCGAUGCCGAACUGAAAGGCCACUGUCAAUUUUCUACUCAUCGUUGACCAAAGAAGAGAAUUUUAGCUAGACCCUUCUCCUUAGUCAAGAUGGCAACAGACUAACAUAAUACUCCAGACGUUGGUAUGAUAUAGCACAAGGGCCAACCAUAGCCGGGGCAGGUUCAUAGAACGCAGUGGUGCCGGAGCCAACCAAAGGCAUCGGAAUCAGCAACGGCUAGGGAUCACCGGCUCCGAAAGAGACAAGGAACCGAUUAUGUGUUGGAACUGACAAAAUAAUUCGCAUUAAAAGAAAGAAAGAAAGAAAGAAAGAAAACCUCCAGUCCAGUGGUUAGAACUUUGUAACCUUCCGCAUCGUUUGAACGAAUCUCGAUCCCCUCGCAACUUGCUCCAAGCCAUGUACUUUUCUGGCGCCACGCGCAUCGCUGGAGGCUGCAGCCGAUGCGGGCUCAUACCAUACGGCGCGCUGGCACAUGAGUAUUCGACUGCCGCCGCAUCCGUGGAUGGUUUUGGAGCACUAAUCCAUUUGCAACAUGUAUUGUAAUAAUCUUUCCAGACGUCUUGGCUCUAGGCAAAUAUUUAGUAAGCUCACAGUCACAGAUCCACUCAUUGAGAGCAUACUUUUUAGCAGGUUGCUCGCCAAUCUGCAAGUGUUGGUAGGAAAAUAUGGAGCAACAAUUCAAAAUCGACUCAUGGGGACCCCACGCUCCACUGGACAGGGAGAAAAUGGGGGAAAGAAAGGAGGAUCGACAGUUGCUACUUGCCACGAGCGCGAGAGUGGAACUCACUUGCGUGGCUUAUUCGACGACGGCGGGAUGGAGUACCGCGCGACGGAGCGAGCUCCGGCGGCCGGCGGCGGUUCCAGCUUCGGGGCAGGGGUGGAGUCGUCUCAGUAAAAGAUGGGCCGGCCAACGCGGACUACCCGGCCCAUAAUAACAAGGCCAUGGGCUGAUUCUUCUUUUCUCCCGGACUAAAAGAAAGACCAUGAACAGACUGGACCUGAAGAAACGAUAAAAUGCCCAGUUCCGGGGGAAACAGUUUGUGACACUCCAUUCCGUUGCAUUCAUUCCAUUUUCAUCUGCAAUCCAAUCCCAGUAAAACAAAGUCGAGACAAACAGUCGUUGUACCAUUUCCUACACAAACACAACAACACGGAAGACCGGAACACGGUUUUGGAUCAUUGCGUGCCAUCUGCAGCAACGCCGACGGCAGCCUCAGCCUCGGCGGCUGCUGGCGGUGGCGGCGCCAACUCGUCCGUGGACGUCGGCGGCGCCGCCGGUGAACCGUCCUCCGGCUUCUUCCCCCUCGCCUUCCUCGGCGGCUUUGGAACGUCCGGGCACGUAGCCGUGUCCUGCCGGCCGGUGCUCUCUGCAACCGCGCCGAAAGCCGGUGUGCCCAAUGGCUGCGGGUCGAAAUCUGUGAAAACAGCCGCCACAGAACGCGUGUCAGCGACUGGCAAGAAAGAACACAAACGAGUCCUUGCUCAUCUAGGAAGCUGAGGAAAAACAAAAUCAGUGUGUGAUCUUGGAAGAAGCAAUGUGCUUGGCCUGCCGCCCCGUCCCCGCGCGAGGGGCGGAGGAUGUCUGCCGGUUGCCUGAUCGCGGUCAGCGCCUGUCGUCUGAAACACCAACCACUGGUUCUCUUUGGAGUCGGACCGCGUCAGGACCAAGCGUUUGGGGAACCCAGGCAUGAACGACACCAAUUGAUCGUGUCCCCAUCACAGGAAGCUUCAGGUUUGCCUUCGUUACCGUCUCAUGAAGCAAGAACCAAGAUAUCUUCAAGAGAAGUCUCCCCCAUUGUUUGCAUAAAGCACGAGAAGAAUCGUGUCAAUCGCCAUUUGUCUGCACGACCCAUUGCCUACCACCAGCAAUUCAGAGAUGCUGCUGGUAGUUCAGACUUCAGAAACCUGAUGAAGCCUGAUUUUUUUUUCUUACUAACAUGUGCUCUGCGAUUACAGAUACGGGAUCGAGGAACCAACACAGAAGUUGCCAAACACGGUGACAAUCACGUGUUCCUUAGAAGAAAUAGGCUGCAACUACACCGAACGGAGCAGUGUAUUCUGUACUGAAGAGCAGGACGCAUGGCCAUACCUUGAGAAGCCCAGGAGGUCCCUGUUGAUGCUGCGAAGUUGCCCAGCGACGAGAUGUCGGGGGCAGCCAUGAUGUUGUUCAUCUAGGGUAUGCAAGAUACGCAAAGCAAAAAAGAUAAACUAAUCAGACAUUUGGAACAAGAAGUUCAGCAGUGCACUGAAAAAAAUUCAGGCGUGGCGUGGCGUGCUUACCCAGCUCGGAGAUGCAUUGCCCGCCGCGCUAUCCCAGCCGAUGUGCGCUACGUGCUUCACGUCCGUCGGAUAACCGAUCUCCAUCUCGUGCUCCUUCGCCGCUGCAAAGAACGAUGCAGAGAGCAGUCACUGAAGAUACAAGAUGUGCAUUGUGCGAGCAGGUAGAGGUAGGCAGGCCUCUGUCUGUCCUUGUUCACCGUACGUGGCCAAUGUUCAGAGUUCACAUGUGAAGGACGGGAUUCACUUACCAAACAUCCGGGAGAUGACCUUGAUGCCCUUGAAGAACCCUUUCGCCUUGAACGCCAUUGGAGGCGAGGGGACGCUGCACGGUGGCCUCCAGAAACAAUGAGGCAGAAAGGAGAGGGCUCUGAGCAAGGAGAGGCAGUAAUCCAAAGUUUCAAAGGCCUUUCUGGCUCUGACAAAGAUGCAGCAUCAACCUGGUUUUGUGACCUUGAAGAAUGAGUUAUCAUCGCACGCACAGUGAUGGAUUGGUGAUACAUGUCUGCAAAAGAGCUGAUCUGCAUCCUCUGGAGUUGUUGGCGAUGUUGACAUCAGCUGUUUCGGCUGAAAGAUUUGCAUAAACAAUAAUUCUGUAUGCACCCGUGAUUAUUAUUUAUUUUGUUUAUCGCCUCGCGGAAUUCUAGUCUUAUAUUGAAAGAUUGGUGAUAAGCGAAAAUUCUAUAGCAACCAAUAAUUAAGAAUGGUAAACUUGCAUUAGAAGGCAGAAUCAUCGUAGAAUCCUGUCAACUCCUUUUCUUUUGCGACUGACAGCAAAAUUUAAUGGGUUUCGUAGUUGACAGGUUGCCCCUUCUAGAUUCAAAUUUAUGUCAAAACGAAACACAGCUUGCAAGCUACAUGAGGAUAUAAGUAUUUUGCCAUGAUUACUCACAAGAUGCAAGAUAAAAAAAAAGAAAGAAAAAAAAAAAAGAACCUGUCAGACAACCUGAGGGCCACCCCAGCAAGGCAAGCCUGACCAGGAACGAUCCUCUACAGCCGUGGAUGGAGCAUCAAAGCUCAAUCCAGGCCGUUAAUCACGCUCUGGCCCACAGGUCUUGAAUCAUCAACCAGGCUUAAGUGCUUGCCUCCUUAUUAGUCAAGGAUGCAGCGGUACGAUCCUAUAGAACAGAUCCUGUUCAAGUAAGG
rnacentral:lncRNA from 1 species